GUGCUGCUCAUUUUGACAGCAUAUAUACUAAAAUUGGAACAUUACAAAGAAGAUUAGCAAGACCCUUGAACAAGCUGUCAAUAACUUUUAAAACGACUUAAAACAUUUGU